rnacentral:tRNA from 1 species
AAGGGAGACCUAAUUCCGGUAGGAGACGAAAAAAAAGUAGUCCCUACCAAGAAUCAAUCCCAAAAGGUCGAAGCGAGGCAAGACUGGCUUUCAAACUAGGUUCUGGGUUCAAACAAGACCUGAAUCAGGAACAAGGGCUAUUAGCUCAGGUGGUUAGAGCGCACCCCUGAUAAGGGUGAGGUCCCUGGUUCGAGUCCAGGAUGGCCCACCUGCACAGGUGGCAAAAACAAAGAAGCGAGGAAUCAGCACCUUAUCUUACUCACAUAGUAAGAGAGAAUGCUGGCUCUGAGUAAAGAGUCCAGAGGAACCUUGAAAACUGCAUAGAGCUAGGUGAAAAAGCCAAAAAAGAAGACCGCAA